rnacentral:lncRNA from 1 species
CGAGCUCUACUUUAGAUUCUGAGUAUGUUUAUGAAAUGAAGGAAAAGAGAAAUGUCUUGCGUAAGGAUAUGAAUCAAACAUGUAUGGAGAUUGAAAUCCGUAAGCGUUGUGUUAUAUUGACUCUGAGAUAUGAGUGUGAUUUUGUGAGGGGCGAGUCUAGAUUCCAAUCUCCGUCUUUUUUUUGGCAUUUACAACUUCU